AUGAACGCUGGCGGCGUGCCUAAUACAUGCCAGUCGAGCGAACAGACGAGGAGCUUGCUCCUCUGACGUUAGCGGCGGACGGGUGAGUAACACGUGGAUAACCUACCUAUAAGACUGGGAUAACUUCGGGAAACCGGAGCUAAUACCGGAUAAUAUAUUGAACCGCAUGGUUCAAUAGUGAAAGACGGUUUUGCUGUCACUUAUAGAUGGAUCCGCGCCGCAUUAGCUAGUUGGUAAGGUAACGGCUUACCAAGGCAACGAUGCGUAGCCGACCUGAGAGGGCGAUCGGCCACACUGGAACUGAGACACGGUCCAGACUCCUACGGGAGGCAGCAGUAGGGAAUCUUCCGCAAUGGGCGAAAGCUUGACGGAGCAACGCCGCGUGAGUGAUGAAGGUCUUCGGAUCGUAAAACUCUGUUAUUAGGGAAGAACAAAUGUGUAAGUAACUAUGCACGUCUUGACGGUACCUAAUCAGAAAGCCACGGCUAACUACGUG
rnacentral:rRNA from 1 species